UAUCUUCAAGUUCAAGGCCUGCGGAUUUGACAGCAGCAGGAAUUGCAACAGCUGGACCAAUUCCCAUAAUGGCAGGGUCUACACCCACGGCAGCAAAGGUCCUGCAUGAACACUGGGUGUUAGUUCUCAUUUAAGACAAACACCAAUAAUAGAAUAAAGAUGCAAAAAGUAUACUGUCAUCAGCUGACUAAGGUCAAGGCAUGAGUCGGAGGAAUUGUGAAGAAAACCACUAACGUGGAGAAAACCAAAAGACGCUCACUGCAAGUAACGUUACUACAGACCUGAAUACACCAAGGAUAGGAAGUCCCUUUUGCAUUGCAAGACUUCUUUUCAUAAGUAGUACAGCUCCAGCACCAUCAGUGACUUGGCUA
rnacentral:lncRNA from 1 species